rnacentral:rRNA from 1 species
GGACGAACGCUGGCGGCGUGCCUAAUACAUGCAAGUCGAACGCUUCUUUUUCCACCGGAGCUUGCUCCACCGGAAAAAGAGGAGUGGCGAACGGGUGAGUAACACGUGGGUAACCUGCCCAUCAGAAGGGGAUAACACUUGGAAACAGGUGCUAAUACCGUAUAACAAUCGAAACCGCAUGGUUUUGAUUUGAAAGGCGCUUUCGGGUGUCGCUGAUGGAUGGACCCGCGGUGCAUUAGCUAGUUGGUGAGGUAACGGCUCACCAAGGCCACGAUGCAUAGCCGACCUGAGAGGGUGAUCGGCCACAUUGGGACUGAGACACGGCCCAAACUCCUACGGGAGGCAGCAGUAGGGAAUCUUCGGCAAUGGACGAAAGUCUGACCGAGCAACGCCGCGUGAGUGAAGAAGGUUUUCGGAUCGUAAAACUCUGUUGUUAGAGAAGAACAAGGAUGAGAGUAACUGUUCAUCCCUUGACGGUAUCUAACCAGAAAGCCACGGCUAACUACGUGCCAGCAGCCGCGGUAAUACGUAGGUGGCAAGCGUUGUCCGGAUUUAUUGGGCGUAAAGCGAGCGCAGGCGGUUUCUUAAGUCUGAUGUGAAAGCCCCCGGCUCAACCGGGGAGGGUCAUUGGAAACUGGGAGACUUGAGUGCAGAAGAGGAGAGUGGAAUUCCAUGUGUAGCGGUGAAAUGCGUAGAUAUAUGGAGGAACACCAGUGGCGAAGGCGGCUCUCUGGUCUGUAACUGACGCUGAGGCUCGAAAGCGUGGGGAGCAAACAGGAUUAGAUACCCUGGUAGUCCACGCCGUAAACGAUGAAUGCUAAGUGUUGGAGGGUUUCCGCCCUUCAGUGCUGCAGCUAACGCAUAAGCACCCGC